rnacentral:misc_RNA from 1 species
AACGCACAUUGCGCCUCCUGGUAUUCCGGGAGGCAUGCCUGUUCGAGCGUCAUUAAAAACCACUCAAGCUCUUUUGCUUGGUCAUGGAAGAAGAGUUUGCUUGCAAUCUCCCUUCCGAAAUUCAAAGGCGGAAAGUCUCAGAGCCCCGGCGUAGUAAUAAUAUUUCGCUUGGAACUUGUGAUGAUCCUGCCCUUAACCCCCAAUUUUAUCUAGGUUGACCUCGGAUCAGGUAGGGAUACCCGCUGAACUUAA